CUAGCGGCAGGCCUCAUACAUGCAAGUCGAGGGGCAGCAUUUAUUUCGGUAAAUGGCGACCGGCGAACGGGUGCGUAACGCGUAUGCAACCUACCUUUAACUGGGGCAUAGCUCGAAGAAAUUCGAAUUAAUUCCCCAUAGUACAAUAUUAUCGCAUGAUAUAAUUGUUAAAGAUUUAUUGGUUAAAGAUGGGCAUGCGUCUGAUUAGUUUGUUGGUGAGGUAACGGCUCACCAAGACCACGAUCAGUAGGGGUUCUGAGAGGAUGAUCCCCCACAUUGGUACUGAGACACGGACCAGACUUCUACGGAAGGCAGCAGUAAGGAAUAUUGGGCAAUGGGCGAAAGCCUGACCCAGCCAUGCCGCGUGCAGGAUUGAAGACCUUAUGGGUUGUAAACUGCUUUUAUAUAGGAAGAAAAUACUCUUGCGAGAGUAACUGACGGUACUAUAUGAAUAAGGACCGGCUAACUCCGUGCCAGCAGCCGCGGUAAUACGGAGGGUUCAAGCGUUAUCCGGAUUUAUUGGGUUUAAAGAGUGCGUAGGUGGUUUAUUAAGUCAGUGGUGAAAUCCUGCAGCUCAACUGUAGAACUGCCAUUGAUACUGGUAAACUUGAGUUUGGUUGAGGUAAGCGGAAUUUAUGAUGUAGCGGUGAAAUGCAUAGAUAUCAUAAGGAACACCAAUAGCGUAGGCAGCUUACUGGACCAAUACUGACACUGAGGCACGAAAGCGUGGGUAGCGAACAGGAUUAGAUACCCUGGUAGUCCACGCCGUAAACGAUGCUCACUCGAUGUUAGCGAUAUACUGUUAGCGUCCAAGCUAAAGCGUUAAGUGAGCCACCUGGGUAGUACGCC
rnacentral:rRNA from 1 species